UUUGAUAUAGAAUGCAAUAAAGCAGGCAAAAGAAAUCUACGUAUUUAAGUGCAUUAAAGUUUCAUAAAACAAAGAAGGAAACAUAUAGUAAUACUACUUAACAGUAAAUUUUACUGUAGAGUUCUCUCCAAGAAAAAAAGAAAAAACUUUUACUGCAGAGCACAGAGAAAGCUUUCACACCUUUGUACGGGAUACCAUCAUCAUAGUCCAUAGGAAUAAUUGGUGGUCCAUAUGGAUGAAUGCUGGGCCUUGUCACAAAGUUAGUUUGUUUCGCUGAGUUAUCAGUAACUCUUUCCUGAUAAACAAAAGAAAACAAAAUUCAUGGAAAUUUAUUUACUGGAAUUUUGAACAAUGGGAAACUAUCUUACAAGAUUGAAAAAUAUGUCCUGAUUCUGCCAUAUCGAACCACACUGCCGUAACUCGAGAUAUACCUUAUAGGUCAAGAAAAAACAUCAGCUUUUGGUUUCAUCUAAUAUAGUUACAAAUAAAAAAAGUACGUUAUUUAACAAGCUGCCAGUGUCUCUCAGCUAUAAGGUCAAUAGGCAUCCUAUUAAUCAUAAUUUUGGUGCAAACAGGCAAAACAAUAGUCCUCAGAACCCUAGAAGAUACAUAAAACAAGCCAAGGUACAUAAGAACUCUGUGACAUCAAUUAGGUCUAAUACAAUUAUUCAUGUUGGUACCAUCACAUAUAUCAUCGACAUUUCAUAUUGGCACAGUUGUAAUAGACGAUCAACAUUUCUAGUUCAAAGACAAUCAAAAUAUUAUUUGUCUUAAAAUCAGUUCAAAUCCGAGAUAUUCAAUAUUAUUAAUUGUCAGAACCCUUACUCAUGAUUCCAACCUAAUCUGGUAAGUAGAAAGAUUUGGGUUUAGAGAGAGAGAGAUUCAUAGAUAAGAGAGGAAACUCAUAUUGAUUCUAAUAUUUUCGAUGAUGAUCUCUUCAUUCAUUCAUAGCCUAUUUAUAGGCGAAAUCGGGAUAGGAUGUGCCAGUUUGUUCGGCGCUCCAGCAUGUUACAUUUACUCCCAUUUUGCUUCUCUUCCUAUAAUACACUUGUAAUGGUUUCCUUACGUUACCUUCUAAUUUCCUAACAUUGGAGGCAAAAUUCAGAGAAUCAAAAUGAAUCAAUCAGAACAAUAGUUGCAAACAAUUAUAACAACCACAAAUAAUAACCUGAAAGUGUAUGAUAAAAGUAAAAAGAGAUUGGACAUAUGGUGCAUAAGUUAAAGAAACAAUUAUAUUUAUACAAUAACCACAUGCAAGACUAAUGUUCAAGUUAAACUCCUAGAACCACCACCUUAAGUGUUCACUGGCUCAAAUAUUCUACAAGGGGGAGAGAGAAGAAGAGGGAAAUAAAUAAGUUAAGAAUUAAAUAAGCUAUGUCAUUUAAGUACAAAAAUUCAAGAAAUCAACAAAUAACCUUUACCCCAUUGCAAGCACGAGAAUAUAGAUCACCACAUUCCUCAGUUUAAGAAAAUGAAUAUAGACAAUCAUGCAGGUAACGACAGGGAAGGUAGUAGACUGAAGAACAAACACUGCAUUGUACCUUUU
rnacentral:lncRNA from 1 species